rnacentral:rRNA from 1 species
AGAGUUUGAUCCUGGCUCAGGAUGAACGCUAGCGGCAGGCUUAACACAUGCAAGUCGAGGGGCAUCGGGAGGGAAGCUUGCUUUCCUUGCCGGCGACCGGCGCACGGGUGAGUAACACGUAUGCAACCUGCCCUCUUCAGGGGGACAACCUUCCGAAAGGGAGGCUAAUCCCGCGUAUAUCGGUUUCGGGCAUCCGAGAUCGAGGAAAGAUUCAUCGGAAGAGGAUGGGCAUGCGGCGCAUUAGCUUGACGGCGGGGUAACGGCCCACCGUGGCGACGAUGCGUAGGGGUUCUGAGAGGAAGGUCCCCCACACUGGUACUGAGACACGGACCAGACUCCUACGGGAGGCAGCAGUGAGGAAUAUUGGUCAAUGGGAGAGAUCCUGAACCAGCCAAGCCGCGUGAGGGAAGACGGCCCUAUGGGUUGUAAACCUCUUUUGUCGGAGAACAAAACCCGGGACGUGCCCCGGACUGCGUGUAUCCGAAGAAAAAGCAUCGGCUAACUCCGUG